GACAACGUGGCGGAGUGGUUAACGCGGUAGACUCGAAAUCUACUUCCCUCUGGGAGCGCAGGUUCGAGUCCUGCCGUUGUCG